rnacentral:rRNA from 1 species
UACGUAGGGUGCGAGCGUUAAUCGGAAUUACUGGGCGUAAAGCGUGCGCAGGCGGUGAUGUAAGACAGAUGUGAAAUCCCCGGGCUCAACCUGGGAACUGCAUUGUGACUGCAUCGCUGGAGUGCGGCAGAGGGGGAUGGAAUUCCGCGUGUAGCAGUGAAAUGCGUAGAUAUGCGGAGGAACACCGAUGGCGAAGGCAAUCCCCUGGACCUGUACUGACGCUCAUGCACGAAAGCGUGGGGAGCAAACAGG